rnacentral:rRNA from 1 species
AUGCAGUCGAACGGUAAGGCCCUUUCGGGGGUACACGAGUGGCGAACGGGUGAGUAACACGUGGGUAAUCUGCCCUGCACUUCGGGAUAAGCCUGGGAAACCGGGUCUAAUACCGGAUAUGAAUUCCUGCCGCAUGGUGGGGGUUGGAAAGUUUUUCGGUGCAGGAUGAGCCCGCGGCCUAUCAGCUUGUUGGUGGGGUAAUGGCCUACCAAGGCGACGACGGGUAGCCGGCCUGAGAGGGUGAUCGGCCACACUGGGACUGAGACACGGCCCAGACUCCUACGGGAGGCAGCAGUGGGGAAUAUUGCACAAUGGGCGGAAGCCUGAUGCAGCGACGCCGCGUGGGGGAUGACGGUCUUCGGAUUGUAAACCCCUUUCAGUAGGGACGAAGCGCAAGUGACGGUACCUGCAGAAGAAGCACCGGCUAACUACGUGCCAGCAGCCGCGGUAAUACGUAGGGUGCGAGCGUUGUCCGGAAUUACUGGGCGUAAAGAGCUCGUAGGCGGUUUGUCACGUCGUCUGUGAAAUCCCUCGGCUUAACCGGGGGCGUGCAGGCGAUACGGGCUGACUUGAGUACUACAGGGGAGACUGGAAUUCCUGGUGUAGCGGUGAAAUGCGCAGAUAUCAGGAGGAACACCGGUGGCGAAGGCGGGUCUCUGGGUAGUAACUGACGCUGAGGA